rnacentral:rRNA from 1 species
CGGAGCAAUCCGAGCCCCAAGACAGGUGCUGCAUGGCUGUCGUCAGCUCGUGUCGUGAGAUGUUGGGUUAAGUCCCGCAACGAGCGCAACCCUUGUCUCUAGUUGCCAUCAUUUAGUUGGGCUACUCUAGAGAGACUGCCGGUGAUAAACCGGAGGAAGGUGGGGACGACGUCAAGUCCUCAUGGCCUUUAUGCCUAGGGCUACACACGUGCUACAAUGGAUCGUACAAAGGGUCGCGAACCCGCGAGGGGGAGCCAAUCCCAAAAACCGGUCCUCAGUUCGGAUUGGAGUCUGCAACUCGACUCCAUGAAGUUGGAAUCGCUAGUAAUCGUGGAUCAGCAUGCCACGGUGAAUACGUUCCCGGGCCUU